rnacentral:rRNA from 1 species
GACGAACGCUGGCGGCGUGCCUAACACAUGCAAGUCGAGCGGAGCCAAUUAUCAGAUCCUUUCGGGGUGACGAUGAGGAAGCUUAGCGGCGGACGGGUGAGUAACGCGUGAGUGACCUGCCUGUAAGAGGGGGAUAACACAGAGAAAUUUGUGCUAAUACCGCAUAUUGAAUAUUAAUCGCAUGGUUGAUAUUUGAAAGAUUUAUUGCUUACAGAUGGACUCGCGUCUGAUUAGCUGGUUGGUGAGGUAACGGCUCACCAAGGCGACGAUCAGUAGCCGAGCUGAGAGGUUGAUCGGCCACAUUGGGACUGAGACACGGCCCAG